UUAUGCUACUCCACAGCCCUACAGAUACUAAAAUUGAAAUGAUACAGAGAAGAUUAGCAUGGCCCCUGUGCAAGGAUGACAUGCAAAUUUGUGAAGCGUUCCUUAUCUUU
rfam:Octopus bimaculoides Scaffold293563_contig_3, whole genome shotgun sequence.